rnacentral:tmRNA from 1 species
GGGGCUGUUUGGUUUCGACGGCGAGUAGAAGAGGUAUGUAAGCAUGCAGUGCAUUGUCUGUUAAGCACUUUAAUCAUAGCAGGUAAAAUAUAACUGGCGAAAAUAACUACGCUCUCGCUGCCUAAGUCGAAGUACAGUAGACUUGCUUAAUUUCGGCACAAGGUGCUGAAACGAGACAUCUCUCGGAUGCUACGCUCCAAGGCGGUCCGGCUCAGAGGUGUGGAUAAUUUGGAGAUAGUGCUUUUAUGCUGCGAUAUCAGCAUGAAAUUUUUAGCAGAUAAGGUAGCAGUUGGUGGCUUCGGUCUUGCUGCUGCUCGAAAAUCAAAGCGAAGAUAAGCAUGUAGAAAGCGUAUUGCUUCCUCGUUCGGACACGGGUUCGAAUCCCGUCAGCUCCAC